CAAUUAUACCGUGAAACUGCGAAUGGCUCAUUAAAUCAGUUAUCGUUUAUUUGAUAAUACCUUACUACUUGGAUAACCGUGGUAAUUCUAGAGCUAAUACAUGCUGAAAAUCCCGACUUCGGAAGGGAUGUGUUUAUUAGAUAAAAAACCAAUGCCCUUCGGGGCUUUUUGGUGAUUCAUGAUAACUUUACGGAUCGCAUAGCCUUGCGCUGGCGACGGUUCAUUCAAAUUUCUGCCCUAUCAACUUUCGAUGGUAAGGUAUUGGCUUACCAUGGUUUCAACGGGUAACGGGGAAUUAGGGUUCGAUUCCGGAGAGGGAGCCUGAGAAACGGCUACCACAUCCAAGGAAGGCAGCAGGCGCGCAAAUUACCCAAUCCCGACACGGGGAGGUAGUGACAAUAAAUACUGAUACAGGGCUCUUUUGGGUCUUGUAAUUGGAAUGAGUACAAUUUAAACCUCUUAACGAGGAACAAUUGGAGGGCAAGUCUGGUGCCAGCAGCCGCGGUAAUUCCAGCUCCAAUAGCGUAUAUUAAAGUUGUUGCAGUUAAAAAGCUCGUAGUUGAAACUUGGGCCUGGCUGGCGGGUCCGCCUCACCGCGUGCACUCGUCCGGCCGGGCCUUCCUUCUGAAGAACCUCAUGCCCUUCACUGGGCGUGCUGGGGAAUCAGGACUUUUACUUUGAAAAAAUUAGAGUGUUCAAAGCAGGCCUUUGCUCGAAUACGUUAGCAUGGAAUAAUAAAAUAGGGCGUGCGUUUCUAUUUUGUUGGUGUCUAGAGACGCCGCAAUGAUUAACAGGAACAGUCGGGGGCAUCAGUAUUCAGUUGUCAGAGGUGAAAUUCUUGGAUUACUGAAGACUAACUACUGCGAAAGCAUUUGCCAAGGAUGUUUUCAUUAAUCAGUGAACGAAAGUUAUGGGAUCGAAGACGAUCGAUACCGUCGUAGUCUAACCGUAAACAUGCCGACUAGGGACGGGCGA
rnacentral:rRNA from 1 species